rnacentral:lncRNA from 1 species
ACUAAUUGCAUCGUUUAAUUUCCUUAUUUGAUUUAAGAGCAUUGCUAGUGUUUCUGUUUUGAAUUAUUUGAAGGCCGGAGGCCUAUAUGUAAACUGUAUGAUUUAUCUGAUGCAUGCUACCAGUUGUGGAUAAACUGUGUUUGUUUAACUUAACAGGUUGGAAAAUUUGAUAACGUCCGUUUUACAGGGGAGAUUCUGCCGAAAUUUUGGGCAAGAAGUCUCAUGCCCCUUUCC